rnacentral:sRNA from 1 species
UGUGGCCUAAAACAAAUUGAUUUUUAAUCCCAAAGAGUUAGAGAGGAAAAUCAGAAGUUGUCUCUCUUGCUCUUAUAAUGCCUAGAGGGUAUAACCCUUAUGAAUCUGAUUGUCUUAGAUUUUAAAGUAUUAUUUAAGUUAGUACACUAUUAUGGAUAAAACAGCUAGUGUCAAUUUAAAUUUCAAGAGUUUUCUAUGAUUGAGUUUUUCUGAAGUUUCUGGAGGUAAUAAAAAAAAAAACUUACGAAAAAGUGAAUUAAAAUACACAGUUUGUGAUGUUUUAAAUUAGCAUUCAUGUAAUUGGUGUACAGGGACAUCUUAUCCUCUCUGAUCUCUAUUAUGACAUAUACAUACAUUGUAAAUAUUAUAUGUAUGUCAUAGAGAGCAGAGUGGACAAGAAUGUCCCUUUAAUUGGUGUUUCCUUUAUCUGAAUGUGGAAAAAAGCAAAAUAGAACAGGGUAUGAAUUUUUUUCAUGAAAUCAUGAAAAGUUUCAUGAGCAGUACUGUAAACAUGUGAGACAUUACCGUUAUGCAUUUUUAUUUCUGAUCACUUUUAUUAUGUCUAAAAUCAUUCAUUUGAAUGUUCAGUCUUCAGUUACUGUGGUUUCAUCAAUAUUCGUUGAAUACCAAUUUUCGUGGAUUUCAUUGAUAAGUUAAUCCACAAAAUAAAUUGUUCAUUGAAGGUCAAUUUCAACUAACAUUUUGUAUUGAUAGGAUCAUUGGCCACGAAAUUACGUAUCCUUGAAACUGUGGUUUUCAGAAAAUCCACGAAAACUGAUACCCACGAAAAUUAAUGAAACCACAGUAAUAUCCACAUCCAUUAAAUGUAGACUUAAGGAGGCUGGAUGGUCAACAAAUUACCAACUGUGAAAUCCUCACUGUGGGUGGGGGAGCAAUGUUUCUGACUUGCCUGGGAAACCCUUGCCAACAAAUUUACAUCCCCAUAAAUUUGUAUACAAUCAUUUAUUUCAUAUAUAUUAAAAUUAUCCCGAUUACACUUCCAACGAAAUUAUGUCCCACGAACCAUGAAAAUUUUGGCAAAUCUACCUUUAAAUAUGAAUAGAAUAUUUUUUCGUCCUAAAUUAUCAUUUAUAGAGAAGAAAAAAUCAAAAUAUUUGGGCCUUAAAAUUUGAUCUUUUUCCUUUAUAUUUAAUUUUAUACAGAAUAUUUUAUCUUUUAAAAGGAGAUUAAAACAGUCAAUCUAAAAAUGGCCACAACCAUCCAGCUCUCUUAAAAAAUAUAUAGAGGCCAAAAGUUGUGUCUAUUUUGUAAAACAUCAAUGAUGAUUGUGUAUUCUGUUUUAUCUUUUGCUGAAAUGAUACAACUAUUCUUCGAAAUUAUUCAUUUAUUUAUUGGAAAUGUUUUUAAAGUGAUACUGAGGACAAAAAGUUGCAUGAUAUUUGACCAAUUAGGUCCUAAUUGUACAUUGACAAAACUUUCAGUAGUGCAUUUGAUUCAAUAAUUAACGUUUGUUUCUUUUGUUGUAUACAAUUUUCUGAUCUUGAAUAUCCUAUAUUUCUAUUUUAUUUCACAAAUGAAAUAUUUACACUACAAUUGUUUUUCAUAAGGUAAACAAGAAUUUUUACAUGUAUCCGUAAAGUGCUUUGUUUUUCUCGUUCUCAAGUUCCUCUUGAAUUUUUAAUGUACAAAUAUUGUAUACAAAGGAAUAUUUCCUUUUAGGACAAAUUGUGUUGGUAACAGCAUGAAAAACAUUGGUAAUUGCUUGUUAUUUAUUAAAAAUAUUUUUUGAAGUAAAAGUGUCAAUUCU